GGACCUUGCGCUAAUAGAUGAGCCUAAGUCGGAUUAGCUAGUUGGUGGGGUAAAGGCCUACCAAGGCGACGAUCUGUAGCGGGUCUGAGAGGAUGAUCCGCCACACUGGGACUGAAACACGGCCCAGACUCCUACGGGAGGCAGCAGUGGGGAAUAUUGGACAAUGGGCGCAAGCCUGAUCCAGCCAUGCCGCGUGUGUGAAGAAGGCCUUAUGGUUGUAAAGCACUUUAAGCGAGGAGGAGGCUACUUUAGUUAAUACCUAGAGAUAGUGGACGUUACUCGCAGAAUAAGCACCGGCUAACUCUGUGCCAGCAGCCGCGGUAAUACAGAGGGUGCAAGCGUUAAUCGGAUUUACUGGGCGUAAAGCGCGCGUAGGCGGCUAAUUAAGUCAAAUGUGAAAUCCCCGAGCUUAACUUGGGAAUUGCAUUCGAUACUGGUUAGCUAGAGUGUGGGAGAGGAUGGUAGAAUUCCAGGUGUAGCGGUGAAAUGCGUAGAGAUCUGGAGGAAUACCGAUGGCGAAGGCAGCCAUCUGGCCUAACACUGACGCUGAGGUGCGAAAGCAUGGGGGAGCAAACAGGAUUAGAUACCCUGGUAGUCCAUGCCGUAAACGAUGUCUACUAGCCGUUGGGG
rnacentral:rRNA from 1 species